AAACAGUCUGCCUGAAACUCCGACGAUUUCCAACAAAUCCUACAUCGCCUUGGCCACCAACCGCUGGGACAGUAGGCGGGUUAAUAUUAGCACUUGAAGCAGCUGCUGCAGUGUGAUCGAAAGAUUGUAUUACUGGAACUGAUGCAGUUGGGUGUGUUGGCCCAGUGUCUAAGCCACCUUCAAAAUCAAAAUUCAAACCCCCUUCUCCUUCGUCCAUUACUACGAAACUGUCAAAUGGGUCGGUGUUUGACAACAGAUUUUGCUUGAAAUUGGUGGCUAUGGCACUUUCCGCACUAUGACGUUUUCAAUUUUACAGCCUUUCUUCUUCUGGCUGCAGGAUUAGGAGAAGAGAGAGGAAGAGGAG
rnacentral:misc_RNA from 1 species